GUGAUCCAGAAUCGGUGUUAUCCCCCUCCAAGACUGUUUCCGUUUGAGAUGCUGAUUGUUCGGGCAAAGUUGUUCUUUCCAUAUCACCUGAUUACUCUUCAAAAUGUAGACUGAGAUGAAAACAAUAUAAACGCACUAAGAAGUUAUUUACUAUCGUGUGUUUAUCUCUAAUAAAAUAUACAUAAGAAUGACGCCAUAUUUAAAUAAUUAUAUGUAACUACACUCGAAUGAUACGUAACUUUUAACUUUAUAUUCGUGAGUAUUUUUAUUUGUAACGAUCAAUGAAAAUAAUGUAAUAAGAAAAAGAAGAAAUCAAUUACAAUAUAAAACAUUAAUUAUGUUGCUCCGACUAACAUAUAUUUUUAUUCGCAAUGUUUCUUUUUGAAGCAACAAUCUGAUGACACUCCAGAUGGCGCAUCCUGUCAGUGAUUAUACUUUGGACGCCGUGCCAUGUAAAUAUACGCAUAAGACGCACACUAAGCCUUUGCAAAACAUUGUUACUGGAUCAAACUUCAUAUCUGUAUACAGAUAGGUAGCAAUUGGUUGCACACAAUCUCAUUGUGAAUGCACUUACGCUAUACGUUUGGUUUUCGGUUCUUAUAUAUUAUUCAUUGAUAUUAUGUAUUAUGUUAACCUCGUUGAGAGAUCUCAAAAAAUGACGCACUUAAUUGUAAAGUCCUCCUCAGAUUUAUAUUGGAAUCAGUACCAACUGGCUAGGGUUUCUUGUUAUUAAUGUGAUAAAGCUUAUUUAUCUCUCCCAUUGGUAUGGAGUCAGGUGCUAAAGUUCCUUUGCCAUUAGAACCUAUUAAAUCAAAUCAGGUAGAAGAUAGAAGACUAUGGGUGGGCAACUUAGAUCUUAGGAUUAAUGAUUCGACCUGCUAUUUCACCGGUCAGGUCCACAAGCUGGCCAACCAAGAGGUUAUGCAUUUGUUACUUACAAAAAGAUAGAAGAUGCAGAAGCAGCUAAAGACGCUUUGCAUAAUUUAAAAGUAGGUGCUAAAAAUAUAGUAGUAAGAUGGGCUCAUAGUGUCACAGAGCCUGACAUAGAAAAACCAAAGCCAAAAAUAGACAUACCUGCUUUAGCAGGCGCAAAAAAAGAAGAUAAAAAAAUAAGUCGUGAGACAGCUAUCCAGGCAAUAGAAGCAAAGCUAAAAUUAAUGAAAGAAUCAGAAGAAGAAUUUGAAUUAAACAAACCUUUGGAUG
rnacentral:misc_RNA from 1 species